rnacentral:pre_miRNA from 1 species
UUGGUUGAUUUGAUACUCCAUCUUGCAGACUUGAAGAAUUUGAAGACCUCAACUUGCAAACGUGGUUCAUUUGAAGACUUCAACU